AGCUUCCUAAAUCUAUGCUAAGAUUUCAUCAGAUGCAAACUCUCUAAGGCUGAUGAGACUUUCAAGAUUCAAAGCG
rfam:Schistosoma mansoni strain Puerto Rico chromosome W, complete genome